ACGAACGCUGGCGGCGUGCUUAACACAUGCAAGUCGAACGGAAAGGCCCUGCUUUUGUGGGGUUCUCGAGUGGCGAACGGGUGAGUAACACGUGAGUAACCUGCCCUUGACUUUGGGAUAACUUCAGGAAACUGGGGCUAAUACCGGAUAGGAGCUCCUGCUGCAUGGUGGGGGUUGGAAAGUUUCGGCGGUUGGGGAUGGGCUCGCGGCUUAUCAGCUUGUUGGUGGGGUAGUGGCUUACCAAGGCUUUGACGGGUAGCCGGCCUGAGAGGGUGACCGGCCACAUUGGGACUGAGAUACGGCCCAGACUCCUACGGGAGGCAGCAGUGGGGAAUAUUGCACAAUGGGCGGAAGCCUGAUGCAGCAACGCCGCGUGCGGGAUGACGGCCUUCGGGUUGUAAACCGCUUUCGCCUGUGACGAAGCGUGAGUGACGGUAAUGGGUAAAGAAGCACCGGCUAACUACGUG
rnacentral:rRNA from 1 species